GACGAGGUGGGCAAACGUUGUUCCGGAAUUACUGGGCGUAAAGCGCGUGUAGGCGGCCAAGCAGGUCCGUUGUGAAAACUGGAGGCUUAACCUCCAGACGUCGACGGAAACCGCGUGGCUAGAGUCCGGAAGAGGAGAGUGGAAUUCCUGGUGUAGCGGUGAAAUGCGCAGAUAUCAGGAAGAACACCAAUGGCGAAGGCAGCUCUCUGGGACGGUACUGACGCUGAGACGCGAAAGCGUGGGGAGCGAACAGG
rnacentral:rRNA from 1 species